UACGUAGGGGGCGAGCGUUGUCCGGAGUUACUGGGCGUAAAGCGCACGCAGGCGGUCUGCUAAGUUUGGAGUGACAGUUGGUGGCUUAACUGCCAAAGUGCUUCGAAAACUGACAGACUUGAGGGCUUCAGAGGGACACGGAAUUCCGGGUGGAGUGGUGAAAUGCGUAGAGAUCCGGAGGAACACCGAUGGCGAAGGCAGCCCCCUGGGCUAGUACUGACGCUCAUGCACAAAAGCGUGGGGAGCAAACAGG
rnacentral:rRNA from 1 species